rnacentral:rRNA from 1 species
GAGUUUGAUCAUGGCUCAGGAUGAACGCUAGCGGCAGGCUUAACACAUGCAAGUCGAGGGGUAUAGGUUUUCGGACCUAGAGACCGGCGCACGGGUGCGUAACGCGUAUGCAAUCUGCCUUUUACAGAGGGAUAGCCCAGAGAAAUUUGGAUUAAUACCUCAUAGUAUUAUUGAAUGGCAUCAUUUAAUAAUUAAAGUUCCAACGGUAAAAGAUGAGCAUGCGUCCCAUUAGCUAGAUGGUAAGGUAACGGCUUACCAUGGCGACGAUGGGUAGGGGUCCUGAGAGGGAGAUCCCCCACACUGGUACUGAGACACGGACCAGACUCCUACGGGAGGCAGCAGUGAGGAAUAUUGGUCAAUGGGCGCAAGCCUGAACCAGCCAUGCCGCGUGCAGGAUGAAGGUCCUAUGGAUUGUAAACUGCUUUUGUACAGGAAGAAACACUGGAACGUGUUCCAGCUUGACGGUACUGUAAGAAUAAGGAUCGGCUAACUCCGUGCCAGCCGCCGCA